CAGGACUGGACUCAGCACUGGCACAGAGGCAGCACAGCUAUGUGGGAAGAACACAGGCUGGUCUGCAGGUGUCUAGAUUUGGAUCCUAGCUCUGUUACUUACUACUUUGUGACUUUGAGCAAAUUCACGUCUCUGAAAGAAACAAAGCUCCAAAUUUGGAAGCAGCAGUGAAACUCCACAGAUUACUGAGGGCAAAAUUGCUGGGUCAUAUGGCACCAAGGAAAGGUCUUGUGCUGACACAGGGAGAAAGCUGUCAUUUACAAGCUGGGAGGAGACCUUCACCAGAAACUGAAUUUGCUACCACCUGGAUCAUGAACUUUUACUCUCCAAAACGGAAGGAGGUGAUGAAGAGAGAAAGAAAGGAUGGAAGGAAGGAGGAAGUGGACAAUGAGCCCAGAGCCCUCACCUGAGUUCCAAACAUUUAAGUCAAACUGCCAACUUCAUUCUCCAUUUGGACGAUUUCUCAACAUGUACAAAACCAAGUCCUGAUUUUUCCGUGACCCCAAAUCUGUUCUAUCUGAAGCCUCCCUAUCUCAGUUACUGAGACAGAGUCUGUCUGUCUUUGUCACUCGCACUUCACGCUGGAGUGCAGUGGUGUGAUCAUAGCUCACUGCAACAUCAAACUCCUAGAUUCAAGCGACCUGAUCCUUCCACCUCAGCCUCCGGAGUAGCUGAGACUACAAAUCCUGGCUGAUGGAUGUAAUGAAGGCAUGAACUAUACUAGUUGAACAAGGAAAUGAACUUGAACCAAAUUGUGAAGUUCUCUGCAGUGAAAUAUUAAAGCUCUGCUGAAAGGACUUGGGAGUGAGCUGCCAGGCUACAGGGGAUUGAAUCGAAAGCCCCCUAAUGGUUAAAGUGUCCAUUAGCUUCUCUACACUUAGCAUCCAUCAGAGAGAAGACAGGCUGGGAGCCCCGGGCGAAUUUCUAACUAGCCUAAUGAGGAGAGAGAUUCUGGGAGCAAAAAAAGUUCAUUUGCUGAAUUUCCAGCAAGAAGUCACUUCAAUAUUGCUUCUAGGAAACACUGACAGGCUUUGUUGGUAAGAAAUCAUUAUGCUGAGAGAGAAAUGGGAUAUUGUUAUAUGACGUUUUUAAAGAAAAUUCAUUUUGAUAGAUGUCUAACUGUGCAUUCAAUUAAAUUUCCUUCUCUUUCUUAAAAAUAGAUGUCAGGUAAUUGUACUCAAGUUCUGUAAGCUGAAAAGUGUUAUCCUUUCCUUCCAGUUAUUAAAAUUUCUUUAUCAAUAAGUGUCUUUCUUGUCUUAAUCCUUUGACUAUGGGGGGCCCUCAAUGGAAAUACAUGGAGUU
rnacentral:lncRNA from 1 species